rnacentral:rRNA from 1 species
CCUACGGGUGGCAGCAGUAGGGAAUAUUGCGCAAUGGGGGAAACCCUGACGCAGCGACGCCGCGUGAGUGAUGAAGGCUUUCGGGUCGUAAAGCUCUGUUGUACGGAAAACGGUACCGUAUAAGAAAGGACCGGCUAACUUCGUGCCAGCAGCCGCGGUAAGACGAGGGGUCCUAGCGUUGUUCGGAAUCAUUGGGCGUAAAGCGUAUGUAGGCUGCCAUGUAAGUCAGUUGUGAAAGCCCCGGGCUCAACCCGGGAAGUGCUUCUGAUACUGCGUGGCUUGAGUACUAGAGAGGAUAGUAGAAUUCCAGGUGUAGUGGUGAAAUACGUAGAUAUCUGGAGGAAUACCGGUGGCGAAGGCGGCUAUCUGGCUAAGACUGACGCUGAGAUACGAAAGCGUGGGGAGCAAACAGGAUUAGAUACCCUUGUAGUC